rnacentral:lncRNA from 1 species
CCACAACGCUGCAGAAUUAACACCAGAAACACAAAGGGAACAAUAAAUAAGAAAUGUUGCAACAAUCUCCUGGGCGUUGUUGCUGACGCAGAGAAAAUUACAACAAUCCUUGCAACCAAAAAACACCUUGAUAAUGCCAAUUCAUGCCAUUACUAAAGAUCCAUAGUCUCACAAAAUCCACAACACAAUAACCAACAAUUGAGUUAGGUGCUGGUACCGGAGCCAACUCCUGAGCCGAGUUGCAGCAGCAGCAGCAGAGAAAAUCACAACAACCAUUGCAACCAAAAACAUGUUAAUAAUGCUAAUUCGUUCGAAAAUAGAGACUUCCAAUAUAGAUCUAGCAGAAUCAUAAGACAAAAAGCAAACAAACUCUCUAACACUAGUAAUAAAAUGAAGAUUUAUUUAUUAUAUAUACUGCAAAAAGAAUAAUAAUAAUAAUAAUAGUAAUACAUAUCAAACCAAUAAUCAUAGCCAAACAUCCUAAGUCUCUACCAAAUCAAUCGCAGCAGCAGCAGAGAAAAUCACAACAACCAUUGCAACCAAAAACAUCUUAAUAAUGCUAAUUCGUUCGAAAAUAGAGACUUCCAAUAUAGAUCUAGCAGAAUCAUAAGACAAAAAGGAAACAAACUCUCUAACACUAGUAAUAAAAUGAAGAUUUAUUUAUUAUAUAUACUGCAAAAAGAAUAAUAAUAAUAAUAAUAAUAGUAAUACAUAUCAAACCAAUAAUCAUAGCCAAACAUCCUAAGUCUCUACCAAAUCAAUCACUCCAUCUCCAUCUUCCGCAAAAUGGACUCAGUGCCUCAGGAGAGCAACAGCAGAAACAAGUAGAGAAGUAGCAACCAAAGCACCAGAUUGAGCCAGAGAGAAUCCAGCUCCAGCAUCAGGUGCCGGUGCCGGAGCCAACUCCUGAGCCGAUGUUGCAGCAGCAGACAACACAACAACAAUCACUGCAACCAAAAACGACUUAACAAUGCUGUAUUGUGCCAUUUCUAAUUGGUGGAACAAGAAGAAGAACAAAGAGAUUGAGAAGAUGCGGCGAGAAUUAGGGUUUUGAUUGAUGAAAAUGAAGGGAAAGGGAGUAGUGAAUUUAUUUAUAGGAGGGUGAGGGAACGCGUGAAGGGAGACAGCUGGCACAGAGAACGAGAAGAUGCGGCGAGAAUUAGGGUUUUGAUUGAUGAAAAUGAAGGGGAAGGGAGUAGUGAAUUUAUUUAUAGGAGGGUGAGGGAACGCGUGAAGGGAGACAGCUGGCACAGAGAAAGAGAGAGAGAGUUUUCAUCGAAUCGGCGGGGGCAUGUGAAAGCACGAAAGUUGUUAGUUGCGGGCGCUGGAAAAAUUUGCUGGACACGUUGCACAUAUCUACUCGAAAUGACCUGCUCAAACUUGGACUCUUCUCU